rnacentral:lncRNA from 1 species
CCUAUUGUCAUUCCAAAACAUACCAUUCCAUUCCAAAACAUAUCAUUCAAUAACCAAUAAAACAUACCAUUCCAUUCCAAAACAUACCAUUCAAUAACCAACAAAACAUACCAUUCAUACAAUUCAUGUUAUUCAAAACAAAACUAAACCAAAAGAUAAAAGAAGAGGAACCUAUUUGUUGGUGUCAGUCACGCUAUUCGUCCCACUUUUAGUCGGACUUUGAGUCGCUUUUUUGCCAACAUUUUCGACAUUUGAAUCUCUUGUAGUAGGCGUGAUUAUGUUGUCGCGUCCUUGGCUCGACUGACCCUAAUGUAAAAAAGUCCUACAAAAAACAAUCAAAUUAAAUAAUAAAUUAUAAUGAAUUAUAAUGAAAAUUAAUACUCACCCGCUCUUAAGAAUA